ACUUCUCUAGUUAGGGCAGGGAACUCAAUUAGGGGCAACAGGCUAAUGAGAAAGGGCAUGAUGCCUGGGGGGGCAGGAGGGGGGGUGUUGGGGGCAGAAGGGGCAAUAGACUUGGCUUUUAGAAGUCACUUGGGGCGGGGAGGGGUAGGGGGCCUGGGUGGCUCAGUCGGUUGAGCGUCUGACUUGGCUCAGGUCAUGAUCUCACAGUUGGUGGGUUCAGGCCCCACUUCUGGCUCUGUGCUGACAGCUCAGAGCCUGUAGCCUGCUUUGGAUUCUGUCUCUCUCCCUCUCUGCCCCUCCCCUGCUCAUGCUCUGCCUCUCUUUGUCUCUCAAAAAUAAAUAUAUGUCAGAAGUCACUCCGGAGCUACCCAGCAGGGUGACCUUGGAAAGGUCCCCCAGCGAGGCUGGACUUAGAAGGCCUCGGUCCGGGGGAUUUCUGGGCCGCACCUGACUCCUGCUUAAACCAGGCGCUGGGCUGGAGCUGUGGAUCAUCAGAAAGUGAAGGCAUGCUGUGCAAGGUGGUGCAGAUCACCUGCCUGGCCCAGGAGGAAGCUGUUUCUGGUUUGGGGAAGCCGCCGCCGCGCCAGGCCUGGCCGCGAGUCAAGGCAGCGACGAGCCGCCGCCCGCAGGUUCCGACUCCCACCCGCCGCGGCUCCUUCCCCGGGGCGGCGGGCGUCCGGGCACCCGGCGCGGACGCCGUGCGAGCCGGCGUGGUUGGCCCCGGCGCUCAAGACCCGCGGAACAGCGACGCAAGGAAGGAACGCUAAGGGGGCAUCUCCGGGCACGCACACGGGCUGACCCCCACUCUCUCGUCCAGGCUCCAGAAGACCGAGAGGAAAAGGGGAGGGGGUGAUGGGCACCCCGGGUUCAGCACGGGGGAAAAUGGGACUGGGGAGGAGGAGCUCGCUGAGGGCAGCGCUGCUCUUGCCUCUAGAUGCGGAGGGGGACUGCCAGAAGCAUGUGGGGGUGGGGGGCCCUCUCCCUCCAGUCGGUCCUGCACCCCUGAGUCUGUAAGGUGGGGGCUGCCAGACUCUGCCCAGAAGAACCCCCUCCCACAAUCCCCUAUUUACUGAUGGGCUAAGGAAGCCUUGAUCAGCCCACUCUGGUGACCCUGGCAGAGAUGCAAAAAAAAGACAAGUAAAAAGUGCCUCAAAAACGGGUCCUCAGAACCUGGGGUGGACCUUGGUUUCUGUGGGAUGGUGGGCACGCCUGUAUUCUGCUUCCCUUGGGCUUCUGUGUGGACCCCCACAGCCCCUCCAAUUCUGUCAGCUCCAGAACUGUGUCUCGCUGCUUAAGUCAGAUACAGUGCUGAAGCCGGAGAUCACAGGGAGCUUUCACGCACCCAGAAACCCACAGAGCAAGGAAGCCACCAAGCAUUCUCCACAGAAGCUGCCCAAACCCUAGGGGACAGGAACUGUUCUGGGAACUUCACUAUUUCCAGAGCUGCCUUAGGUACGUUUCCUUUCAUUCCAACAGCAACCCUGUGGGAGGGCUGGUUAUUGCCCCCUGGUUUAUACCUAAAGAAAUAGGGAGUUAAAGAGCUGAAGUCACUUGCCUAUGGUCACGUAGCUAUAAAUGUGCUUGAUCCCAGGUUUGUCCAACCACCAGCCCAGUGCUUUGUUAACUGCGCCUCAGAGAUUAGAUGCAGUUCAGAUUAGAGUCCAUGCACACACCUGCUCCCCCACCUACACACACACACACACACACACACGAGAACAGAGCUGCCCAACCUUAACCUUUUCCCAGCAGAAUCACACUUGAUCCUCGUGAAUCCUUAUUGAGGAUUCUCAGUGGCUCUAACUUUGAUAGAACCUGGUAGAAUUUUUCAAACUCACUUUUGUUCUGUGAAAUAAACUACCCCCAGUAUAUUCUUGACCA
rnacentral:lncRNA from 1 species